AUGGCCGCCAUCAGCAGCAGCAGCAGCAGCAAGCGCCGCUCCCCCUCCGCGUCCACCGCCUCCUCCUCCUCCGGCGACGGAAUCGGCGAGUACCGGCCGCAGCUGGUCACCCGGAAGCGGAGGUCCGGCGGGCGCGGGCCCCGCGGCGGCGUCCGGUGGAUGCCGGCGAUCCGACCAGUAAAUGAGCUGGAUUUAAAUAGAGUUUCUCUAGAUCCAAAUCAUCAAGUGGCUGGGUUGCGAGUUAUUCUGCAGAAGGAGCUCCGUAAUAGUGACAUAAGCCAGCUUGGGAGAAUUGUUCUCCCGAAGAAAGAGUCGGAGGCUUACCUCCCAAUUCUGACAUCAAAGGAUGGUAGAAGUCUACGUAUGCAUGAUUUGCUAAAUGCACAACUGUGGACAUUCAAGUACAGAUACUGGCCAAACAACAAGAGCAGGAUGUAUGUACUUGAGAAUACUGGGGAUUAUGUCCGAACCCAUAACCUUCGAGUGGGAGACUUCAUCAUGAUAUACAAAGACGAUGACAAAAACCGAUUUGUCAUCCGAGCAAAGAAGGCGGGAGAUGAUCUAGUUGCUUCUUUGCCACAAUUCCACGAGCAUAUCUCUUCCAUUCUGCCAAUUCCAGAAGUUGAUGACUAUGUGUCUCUAAUCCCACCACCAGCUGACAUCUCUGCCUUUGUGCCACAAGCUGAUGAGAAUUACGAGAUGUUUGAUGGGAUUUUCAACUCUCUGCCAGAGAUACCGGUAGCCAAUGUGAGGUACUCAGAUUUCUUCGACCCAUUCAGUGAUUGUAUGGACAUGUCGAAUCCCGGCCUGAACGCCAACAACUCAGCUAACCUGGCAAGUCAUUUCCAUGAUGAGAGGACUGGGCUUUCUUUGUUUCCCAACCCAAAGUCUGGGCCUCUGAUGUGA
rnacentral:rRNA from 1 species